UCCGUAGGGGGAACCUGCGGAGGGAUCAUUACACAACAAAAAUAUGAGGGUGUGGUUUGCUGGCAACAGCGUCCGCCCCAAGUAUUUUUCACCCAUGUCUUUUGCGCACUUUUUGUUUCCUGGGCGAGUUCGCUCGCCACCAGGACCCAACCAUAAACCUUUUUUUAUGCAGUUGCAAUCAGCGUCAGUAUAAUAAUUCAAUUUAUUAAAACUUUCAACAACGGAUCUCUUGGUUCUGGCAUCGAUGAAGAACGCAGCGAAAUGCGAUACGUAGUGUGAAUUGCAGAAUUCAGUGAAUCAUCGAAUCUUUGAACGCACAUUGCGCCCUUUGGUAUUCCAAAGGGCAUGCCUGUUCGAGCGUCAUUUGUACCCUCAAGCUUUGCUUGGUGUUGGGCGUCUUUUUGUCUCUCCCCUUGUUGGGGGAGACUCGCCUUAAAACGAUUGGCAGCCGACCUACUGGUUUUCGGAGCGCAGCACAAAUUUGCGCCUUCCAAUCCACGGGGCGGCAUCCAGCAAGCCUUUGUUUUCUAUAACAAAUCCACAUUUUGACCUCGGAUCAGGUAGGGAUACCCGCUGAACUUAAGCAUAUCAAUAA
rnacentral:rRNA from 1 species